CUGCUCCAGUUUCCUCCUCUGUUCUCCUUCCUCUCAUCACCAAAACUAGAUGGAGACGUUUAAUGACUCGGUUCCUAAAGUCCCAGCUCUCCAUCAGGGGACGGCCUGCUUUCAUAAACUCUUUCAUAAACUCUUUCAUAAAUGCUUUCAUAAACUCUCCAACUCGUCUGUCGUUAACUUUAAUUCUCCAACAUUCUCCAUCAUCUCAGUUUUUUGUAAUCCUGCACACUGCAGAGGCUCUCGCUCUAUGGGAAACUAUUUAUGUGGUAAAUGGCAGCAAACAUUCAAGAGAUGGACGAAAUGAGUUGUUCCUCUCCCACACACUCACACACAUUACCCUGGUGUGAUGGGGAAGGGGCCAAGUGUGUGGGAGAGAUGGAGGGAAGGAUCGAUAGAGCAGCAAAAGAGUGCUGUAAACCAUGAAAGUAGACAAAAGCCUGCUAGUUUUCCCACAGUGCACCAGACUCUGUUAGCCUGGGAGCUACAGCUGCACCACCAACACACACACACACACGCCCACACACCCACACACACACACACACACACACACACACCAUCACACCUAGUUUAUGUAGAGUAAAAUACAAAAAGCUGCUUAUGGCCAGAAAAUAUCAAUAAGUGUCUGUGGGAAUGAAGAGUGUUCAGUCGAUGGAAGAAUAGUUUUAUUUUACUCUCCUUCCUUCAGACUGCAGGGAUUCAUCUUUACUCUGUUUUAUAUUCUCUGCCACUUACAUUAUACCUCAUGUUACUGGAUAAUGAGGAAACAAACCUCAGUUUGGGUUUAGAGUUGGGUUCACCAACGUGGUUAAGGUUCAUUCAGUAGAAUCUGUCCGAGUCUGAAGGAAGGAACCUGCUGCUGUUUGCUGUUUCCACUGACUGGGAGACGUUUCUGCUGUCAGCUUCUCUGAUCUGGAGGCAAAAUUAAUGAAGAAAAAUUAAUUCUGAUACAAAUUCUCAUCCAACAGUUAGAUUUUUCUCUCCUGCUCCACAGCUGAUUUAGAGUUGAGAUGAAGUGAAACAUUUUGGAGAAAUGGAUCUUCGUGAGAACAUGUUGUUGUUAAACCAGGAAGUGUCUCUGUUUCUGAUUCGUGGAACCACUUCAGAUUUUAUCACCAUGUUCUGUGGUAUUUAUUACGAUAGCAGUAAAAAAACAAGAGGUUUAAAAAUGAACAACAGUCUCCUGGCUGCACAUCUGUUCCUGCCUGAGUCAGAGACCCAUAAACACCAAUAAAAUAUCACAUUUAUUUCCAUAUAUAUUAUUGAUUGAUUGUCUCAUAAAACAAAAUAUGAAAACAAAAUCAACCAUCCUGAUCACACCUUCAGUUUUUAUAGAUGUUUAAAUGUCAGACUUGAUCAUUUUCAUGAUAAAUCAUGUUUUAUAGUUUAUUUUUUCUGUAAAAUAAUUUUCCAUCAUCGUCUGACUCAGAUGUUUUAAUCAGAUGUUUGUCUAACGAUGAAAUUAGCAGGACAGGAGCACCACAGGGCGCCGUACUCUCACCAUUCAUUUCACUAUGAACACUCAGACUUCCAGCACAAAUCUGACUCCCGUCAUCUGCAGAAAUACUCAGAUUACUCUGCAGAAAUACUCAGAUUACUCUGCAGAAAUACUCAGAUUACUCUGCAGAAAUCUGAGUAUUUCUGCAGAUUUUCUGUAAACCUGUUUUAGAAUUCAUCACAUGAGAAAUUAAAACAUAAUUUCCAUUUGCAUGAUUUAUCGUUUAUGUCUUUCCCUCUGGAUGACAAAAUACUUUUUUGAAGGACGAUACUUUGCUUUGCCAGAUUAUUUUUGAUAUUUGUUAGAAAUGAAAGUUUAUUGAUAUUUUUAAAGUUUAGUUUGUCUGGUUUGAGUCUCUGACCUCGUCUCAUUUUCUGCUGUGAUUUGUGGUGUCAGAAGGCGGGACGGCUCUGCUCAUAAUGCAAACCUCACCUUCUCCAUAACGGACACAGAUUGUCUCGUAAAAACACAGCAGUUAUCUGAGAGUGGGUUUAUUUACACAGGCGUGUGAGGAGAAACAGCAAAGCUCCACUAAUAAGAGCUCAAACAGGCCUGAGGCGCGGCGGAUCGCCCGUAAUACCAGAGUAAAUGUUUUCUUCUGCUUUGGAGAGUUUGCUGCAGUCUGAGAAUCACCUGAAGUCCGAAUCAAUCACCGUCAUGAGUCAGCGGCGCCGUGUCCUGAUGUCACGAUCCGGCAGAUUCUCCUGGUGAAUCCGACCUCUCCGUCUUCCUCCUGGACUCUCCCAGCUGUCUUCCUCUGCCACUGUAAUUAUUUCCCUGCUGCCUCUUCCUCCUGCAGACAGCUGACUGCCCGUCUUCCCGUCUUUUUCCCCCUCAGCUGGCGCUCCGUCUUUCAUGGCGUUUCCCCGGAGCGAGAGGAUUCCAGCAGAGGAGUGGCAUUUGGAGAACCUCGCUCUCCUAUUGCCGACUCUCCGCCGGGCUCCAUCGCAGCUGCUGACAUAAUGAGGACAUGAGUUUCAAACGAGAUGAAAUGAGGUAAAACAAGGCCCCUGCCAGCACCGUUUUCUGGACAGCUUCUAAAAACAGCCGGCGUCGCUCGCUUAACUGGGCCAUUAACUUAGAAGGGAGCCUUCAAAGUCCUGCUUCGACUGAGCAAACAGUCGGCCGGGUGGGGAUGCAGCGGGAAGCGAAGGCGCUUUGACUGGACAGAAACACCAGGCAGAGACGCUAAGGAGCCAUUUUUAACUUUAUGCUUCAUUAAAAACAUCAAGCAUUUCAAAUUACAAGAACACGAUUUGUCCUUGCAUCCAUUUUUACCCACCUUCUCACGAUGUGGACAGUGUUCAGGUUUUACUAAAUAUCAAUAAAAACGAGAAGAUUUGGCCUAGUCAAAGCUCCUGUCCUGGGGAUAAAGUUACAACAAACCGUCUCACUUCCUCACGCUGCAGACAUUUUAAAGUUUCAUCUGAUUUAUAAAUACGUUUUGUAGCCAAACAGAUGCUUUACAGCUCUGUGGAAAUGUAAAAAUCCUAAAAAAAACAAUAAAACCAAAAUCUUUAAAGGUUUGUUUAGUCAUAUGGUGAUGCCAGGAAUUACAAAGAAAGAAAAAUGUUUAGAAAAUGUUAAUGUUUCAAUCAGAAGAAUGAGGAAAUAGCUUAUAAGGAAACACAUGCAAAUUAUUUUCUAGAAUUUUACAUGAAAAUUAAAUAUUUUUUAAUGUUUCUGAUCAUUAAUGAGAACCUGAGUAAAUACCAGAGAUUAAGGGAACAAAUAACCGUUCUGAAACGGUUUAAUUCAGACUAAUUAGAGGAUUUUCCUCCAUGAACGACCUGUUGAAGGCUAAACAUAUUUAAGUCUUGACUUUGACUAGACCACUCCAAAAUAUUUUUGGUUCUUGGGAAACUGAUGGCCAAAUGUUCAACUUGGUUCCAUUAAUCAGAGAAAUCCAUCCAAGUCCCAGGAGUUCAGAGGGUCAUUGUGAUGUUUUUGAUAAAUGUGGGACGGGACUUUGGGUUCUUUUGGGUCAGCAGCGGUUCUGUCUUUUUGACCCGUUUAGUUUUAGGAAUUAAAUUAAAGAAAUCUAAUAAUCUCAACAGAACAGUUUGUAGACGUUAGUUUUUAGUUCAGGAAGUUUCAGGAAAGCUGAACCGCGCCUGGUUGUCCAACAUCAGUGUCUGACCUCAUAAAUAGGUUUCGCCUUAAGGAAAUCCUUCACAGAUGAGUUGAAGCUGUUAUAGUUUAUAGUUUAGGUGCAAACCCAUUAAGCAUUAAAUAUAUUAUUUAGUCAUUAUUUAGUAAAAAAUCCUGAUAAUCUGUUUCAUCUUCUCUCUUCAUUGCUUUAUUGCGGUCAGUUUUUAUGUUCUUGUUCCUUUAAAGUUCUAACAUUUCCUUUGAAAAAAUAAACUUUUAGAUUUUAAUUUGAAAAAUCAGAGGAUAAAUGGAAGCAAAGCUCCGUCUCUGAAUCCGUUGUUUUCUUCAUGAAGCGUCGGAUGUUUGCAGAAAAGCGUCGUUUAGGAAGUCGCUGCCUGUGGCUCUUCACGCCGCCUCCUGCUGCAGCCUGGCUGCGUUAAAUAUUGAUGCUGCAGCACCGGACCGCUCUCCGGGAGGUCGGGGUAAAGGUCGCGGCUCCACGGCGCUGCAGUGUGUUGCUCACUUCCUGUUCCCCUGGGCCACAUUUACCUCCAGAGAUGCCGAGUCGCAGCACAAAAUACAGCCCAGAUUUUACUCACUUUGAUUAUUAAAACCACCAGAAGGUCCAGCAGAACCACAGCAGAACCACAGCAGAACCACAGCUGGACCCACUCCGACUGAAACCACGACAGAGACCGGCAGCGGGUCCAAAGUGUGGCCCGGGUCCAUUUCUGGCCCUUUUUGUGUGAACUUUGUGUGGAAAUUUGACCCUCCAGUGGAAAAUCUUUUUAAUUUUAAUUUCAUCGUUUCCUUUAAAUCAAGACUGAAAAGCAAAAUGUUUAGAGUUGAUGGUGAACCAUGAUCAAUGAAAUAUGGACCAACAUAUUAGAUGUUUAUGAUGAUGGAUCAUCAAAAUGCAAUGUUUAUUGUUGACCUUGUGGAGUCUUUCUCAUGUAAAGACCUUUAACCGCCUUGCUGCUGAAAUGUCAUUUACUAAUAAACUGAUUGAUUGAUUGAU